CCUAACGAAGAUCUCAAACAAGGCACAACAGGAAUACGACAACUGGAACACCAAAAUCUUCUAUACAUACAAGCCCUAAUUAGGGUUUUAUUAUGUGCAUUUUAAUUUAUCACAGCCCCUGCUACCGAACCCUCGACAUUUCCCUCUGAUUUUCUCCAAAGCAUUCUAGUGGUGUAGGAUGUAACUCACCACCAGCCAUAAGCUACGUUGUUGCCACCGACCACUUCUCAGCAAUCCAGUUUUGUCAUCAACCCCAUAUGACCGCUGCUAUAGCAAUUAACAACAAUUAUGGAGGCAGGUAAAAUACUUAUAUUUGAUUUCGAAUAUCUGCUCUAUUGUAGCUGCUGGUUAGUAUUUUUGGACUAAAAGAUGUUUGUUUUUAAAUUAAAAGACUUGUUGAUAGUUCUUUGUAAGCCUAAUGCCCUUAAUUGGUGGUGUUAUUAAAUGAUUUCGUUUAGUUUAUUUAGUUGAUUAGGUGAAUAAUUGAGUUUGUUCUUUUGAAAAAGUUUACUGUGUAUUGAAAAUGGAUUUAUUUGCCUUAUUUGAUAACUAAGAAAAAGCUACGUUCAGCAUGUGAUUGGCUUAUAUGAUAUUAAAGUCAAAUUAAUGACUAACAACUAUGUAUUUUAUGUAGUCAUAUUGUUAUGCAUAUAAAUAUUUUUAUGUAGUCUCA